UGGCAUAGUGGUUAAGCGUUUUGGCUGCUAACCAAAUGGUUGGCAGUUCAAAUCUGCC
rnacentral:tRNA from 1 species